CACUUUGCGAAGCUGGGCCCUCGAUUG
rnacentral:sRNA from 1 species